rnacentral:rRNA from 1 species
AGCGACAGGCCUAACGACAUAGCAAGUCAGGGGCAGCACAAGGAGCAAUCUGAGGUGGCGACCGGCGCACGGGUGAGUAACACGUAUGCAACCUGCCUGUAAGCGGGGAAUAACCCGUUGAAAGAACGGACUAAUACCGCAUAAUACUAAAUUACUGCAUGGUAAUUUAUUUAAACAUUUAUGGCUUACAGAUGGGCAUGCGCAUGAUUAGCUAGUUGGAGAGGUAACGGCUCCCCAAGGCAACGAUCAUUAGGGGUUCUGAGAGGAAGGUCCCCCCACACUGGUACUGAGACACGGACCAGACUCCUACGGGAGGCAGCAGUGAGGAAUAUUGGUCAAUGGACGAGAGUCUGAACCAGCCAAGUCGCGUGCAGGAAGAAUUGUCCUAUGGAUUGUAAACUGCUUUUGCAGGGGAAUAAAGUGCAUCACGUGUGAUGUUUUGUAUGUACUCUGCGAAUAAGGAUCGGCUAACUCCGUGCCAGCCGCCGC